rnacentral:rRNA from 1 species
CAGUAGCCGCGGGAAUACGUAGGUGGCAAGCGUUGUCCGGAAUUAUUGGGCGUAAAGCGCGCGCAGGUGGUUUAAUAAGUCUGAUGUGAAAGCCCACGGCUCAACCGUGGAGGGUCAUUGGAAACUGUUAAACUUGAGUGCAGGAGAGAAAAGUGGAAUUCCUAGUGUAGCGGUGAAAUGCGUAGAGAUUAGGAGGAACACCAGUGGCGAAGGCGACUUUUUGGCCUGUAACUGACACUGAGGCGCGAAAGCGUGGGGAGCAAACAGGAUUAGAUACCCCUGUAGUCCCUGUCUCUUAUAC